CCUACGGGAGGCUGCAGUCGAGAAUCAUUCGCAAUGGGCGAAAGCCUGACGGUGCGACGUCGCGUGGAGGAUGAAGGUCUUCGGAUUGUAAACUCCUGUCAUGAGGGAUAAAUGGCCGGGGCACGAAUAGUGCCUUGGAAUGAUAGUACCUCAGGAGGAAGAGACGGCUAACUCUGUGCCAGCAGCCGCGGUAAUACAGAGGUCUCGAGCGUUGUUCGGAUUUACUGGGCGUAAAGGGAGCGUAGGCGGUUCGGUGUGUUGAAUGUGAAAUCCCACAACUCAACUGUGGAAUGGCAUUCAAAACUACUGGGCUAGAGUACUGGAGAGGAGAGCGGAAUUCUUGGUGUAGCGGUGAAAUGCGUAGAUAUCAAGAGGAACACCGGUGGCGAAGGCGGCUCUCUGGACAGAUACUGACGCUGAGGCUCUAAAGUUAGGGGAGCAAACAGGCUUAGAUACCCCGGUAGUC
rnacentral:rRNA from 1 species